rnacentral:misc_RNA from 1 species
GAUGAAGAACGUAGCGAAAUGCGAUAACUAAUGUGAAUUGCAGAAUUCCGUGAAUCAUCGAAUCUUUGAACGCACAUUGCGCCCGCUAGUAUUCUGGCGGGCAUGCCUGUCUGAGCGUCAUUUCAACCCUCGCCCCCGGCUUUUGCUGGGAGCGGUGUUGGGGAUCGGCCGCCCGUCACUGGGAGGCCGGCCCCGAAAUAGAGUGGCGACCACGCCGUGUGCUCCUCUGCGUAGUAGUAAAUCACCUCGCAGGCGGACAGCGGUGCGGCCUGCCGUAAAACCCCCAACUCUUUCUGGUUGACCUCAGAUCAGGUAGGAAUACCCGCUGAACUUAAGCAUAUCAAUAAGCGGAGGA